UGGGGAAUCUUGCACAAUGGGGGAAACCCUGAUGCAGCGACGCCGCGUGAGUGAUGAAGCCCUUCGGGGUGUAAAGCUCUUUCGACAGGAACGAUAAUGACGGUACCUGGAGAAGAAGCUGCGGCUAACUACGUGCCAGCAGCCGCGGUAAUACGUAGGCAGCAAACGUUGUUCGGAGUUACUGGGCGUAAAGAGUGCGUAGGCGGUUUGCCAAGUCUGGUGUGAAAUCUCCUGGCUUAACUGGGAGGGUGCGCCGGAUACUGGCAGGCUUGAGUGUGGGAGAGGAAAGCAGAAUUCCUGGUGUAGCGGUGAAAUGCGUAGAUAUCAGGAGGAAUACCUGUGGUGAAGACGGCUUUCUGGACCACAACUGACGCUGAGGCACGAAAGCGUGGGGAGCAAACAGGAUUAGAUACCCCUGUAGUCCCUGAGCGGGCUGGCAAGGCGCAU
rnacentral:rRNA from 1 species